rnacentral:siRNA from 1 species
UCAUACAGAAUCGUCCUCGCCGGA